rnacentral:rRNA from 2 species
GACGAACGCUGGCGGCGCGCCUAACACAUGCAAGUCGAGCGGAGCGCACUAGACGAAGCCUUCGGGUGGAGUAUGGUGUUGCUUAGUGGCGAACGGGUGAGUAACACGUGAGCAACCUACCUUCCAGUGGGGGACAACAUUUGGAAACAGAUGCUAAUACCGCAUAAGACCACAGUGCCACCUGGCACAGCGGCCAAAGGAGCAAUUCGCUGGAAGAUGGGCUCGCGCCCGAUUAGCUAGUUGGUGAGGUAACGGCCCACCAAGGCAACGAUCGGUAGCCGGACUGAGAGGUUGAACGGCCACAUUGGGACUGAGACACGGCCCAGACUCCUACGGGAGGCAGCAGUGGGGAAUAUUGCACAAUGGGCGAAAGCCUGAUGCAGCUACGCCGCGUGAGGGAAGAAGGUUUUCGGAUUGUAAACCUCUGUCUUCGGGGACGAUAAUGACGGUACCCGAGGAGGAAGCCACGGCUAACUACGUGCCAGCAGCCGCGGUAAAACGUAGGUGGCAAGCGUUGUCCGGAAUUACUGGGUGUAAAAGGGAGCGCAGGCGGGUUGCCACGUCGGGCGUGAAUUUAUGGCUCAACCCCAUAGCGUGCGUUCGAAACUGGUGCUCUUGACUGAUGGAGAGGCAGGCGGAAAUUCCCCGGUGUAGCGGUGGAAUGCGUAGAUAUCGGGAGGAACACCCAGUGGCGAAGGCGGCCUGCUGGACAUUAACUGACGCUGAGGCUCGAAAGUGUGGGUAGCAAACAGGAUUAGAUACCCUGGUAGUCCACACCGUAAACGAUGAUUACUAGGUGUAGGGGGAUAGACCCCCUCUGUGCCGCAGCUAACGCAAUAAGUAAUCCACCUGGGGAGUACGGCCGCAAGGCUGAAACUCAAAGGAAUUGACGGGGGCCCGCACAAGCAGUGGAGUAUGUGGUUUAAUUCGAAGCAACGCGAAGAACCUUACCAGGUCUUGACAUCCCGCGCAUAGCAUGGAGACAUGUGAAACCCUUCGGGGCGCGGUGACAGGUGGUGCAUGGUUGUCGUCAGCUCGUGUCGUGAGAUGUUGGGUUAAGUCCCGCAACGAGCGCAACCCUUAUCGUUAGUUACUACGCAAGAGGACUCUAGCGAGACUGCCGUUGACAAAACGGAGGAAGGUGGGGAUGACGUCAAAUCAGCAUGCCCUUUAUGACCUGGGCUACACACGUACUACAAUGGCCGUUAACAGAGGGAAGCGAAGCCGCGAGGUGGAGCAAAACCCAGAAAAACGGUCUCAGUUCGGAUUGGAGGCUGCAACCCGCCUCCAUGAAGCCGGAAUUGCUAGUAAUCGCGGAUCAGCAUGCCGCGGUGAAUACGUUCCCGGGCCUUGUACACACCGCCCGUCACACCAUGAGAGCCGGGGGGACCCGAAGUCAGUAGCCUAACCGCAAGGGGGGCGCUGCCGAAGGUAAAACUGGUGAUUGGGGUG